ACAAUUGUAUUAUAAAUAAGGGAAAGCGUGUUCGAUGGAUUGGGUUGAGGAAGAAGAAGCAAGGGCAAGGGCAAGGGCAAGAGCAAGUGGGUAACCCAAACGCCACAAACCCUCUCCUCUCUUAUCUUCAAUUUGAAUACUCAAAAACAAUUUUAUCGGUGAUACGACGACGACACAUGGGCAGACCUCCCCUCCACCGCAACGCACUCACCUUCAGACCUACUCCCACCAUCAAGUUCCUCUGCAGCUACGGCGGCAAGAUCCUCCCUCGUUAUCCCGACGGCAAACUCCGUUAUCACGGUGGCGAAACUCGCCUUCUUUCUGUCAACCGCUCCAUUUCCUUCUCUGAACUGCUGUUGAAGUUCGGGGAGCUCUGCGGAACCUCAAUUUCUGUGACCUUCCGUUGCCAGUUGCCUAGAGAAGACCUCGAUGCUCUAGUUUCCGUUACCUCCGAUGAAGAUCUCGCGAAUCUCAUCGAGGAAUACGAUCGAGCGGCUUCCCCUUCCUCGUCGUUGAAGAUCAGAGCGUUCCUUUCGCCUCCCAAAUAUGGCAAAAGAAUAUCGCCUCCUUCUUCAAUGACUUCCUUCUCCUCCUCGGUGGCUCACCGUUGUUUUCGUCGGAUGUCACCACCAAAUGCUUCCUACUUGGAGAGAUCUGCAUCUUCGGUUCCUUUUGGUGUAUAUAAUAUUCAGGGAAGUUGUGCUUCUAGUCACAUGUUCCUUCACAGUGGUAACAGCUGGGAAUAACACCAACUCUUCCAACAGAAGAACAACCGGAUUUGUCAAACCCAAUACCAAACCACUUGAGCUAUACAUAUUAUUUACAAAAAAAAAGAGAAUUAAAAUUAGAAGUACUCAAAAAGAGAUGCCAAUACAAUGACUUUCGGCACCAAAAGAUUUUCAAGGUUGGACUCGGAGAUUAAAGCUGCGGUAGAGACCAAUGAUUUUUCUUAAGUCAUUGCUGCGGCUGGAGAAGCUGAAACACACAAGAGAGGGUCCAUAUCCCAUGGUGGGGUGAUAGCUUUUUGGAAUCUUAAUCAACUGGACAUGGUAUAUCAGUAUCUGAAAUAAAUUUAUUCAAGAUUUGAAAUAAAAUCAUCCAACCAGACAAAA